rnacentral:rRNA from 1 species
GUCGAGGGGUAUACGUCUUCGGAUAUAGAGACCGGCGCACGGGUGCGUAACGCGUAUGCAAUCUACCUUUUACAGAGGGAUAGCCCAGAGAAAUUUGGAUUAAUACCUCAUAGUAUUAUGAAGUGGCAUCACUUUAUAAUUAAAGUCACAACGGUAAAAGAUGAGCAUGCGUCCCAUUAGCUAGUUGGUAAGGUAACGGCUUACCAAGGCAACGAUGGGUAGGGGUCCUGAGAGGGAGAUCCCCCACACUGGUACUGAGACACGGACCAGACUCCUACGGGAGGCAGCAGUGAGGAAUAUUGGACAAUGGGCGCAAGCCUGAUCCAGCCAUGCCGCGUGCAGGAUGACGGUCCUAUGGAUUGUAAACUGCUUUUGUACGAGAAGAAACACUCCUACGUGUAGGAGCUUGACGGUAUCGUAAGAAUAAGGAUCGGCUAACUCCGUGCCAGCAGCCGCGGUAAUACGGAGGAUCCAAGCGUUAUCCGGAAUCAUUGGGUUUAAAGGGUCCGUAGGCGGUUUAGUAAGUCAGUGGUGAAAGCCCAUCGCUCAACGGUGGAACGGCCAUUGAUACUGCUAAACUUGAAUUAUUAGGAAGUAACUAGAAUAUGUAGUGUAGCGGUGAAAUGCUUAGAGAUUACAUGGAAUACCAAUUGCGAAGGCAGGUUACUACUAAUGGAUUGACGCUGAUGGACGAAAGCGUGGGUAGCGAACAGGAUUAGAUACCCUGGUAGUCCACGCCGUAAACGAUGGAUACUAGCUGUUGGGAGCAAUUUCAGUGGCUAAGCGAAAGUGAUAAGUAUCCCACCUGGGGAGUACGUUCGCAAGAAUGAAACUCAAAGGAAUUGACGGGGGCCCGCACAAGCGGUGGAGCAUGUGGUUUAAUUCGAUGAUACGCGAGGAACCUUACCAAGGCUUAAAUGUAAAUU